CCCUGAAGCUUACUGUUAGUGGUCGAGUUUUUCUGGAAGUGGGCUUCCGCGAUCGCGGGGACCAACGCCCUGAGCUCUUGUGCCCAAAGGGGAUCGCCAGGUUUUUUGAUGCGGAUCGAAAGGGACUGGCCCCGGAGCCUACAACCUGACGCAGGUGGGACUUGGGGAAAUGUCGAGAAACCUAGGUCUGGGACUUGAGUUGGCUUCCAGGGCACACAUUCUUGUUCAGAAGAAACACAUUGCAAAAAUCGGGAGGUGACGGGCAGAUGAAGUGUCGGCGCUUCGCCUCGGGACUCCAGUGCAACCUAUGGGGCUUUUGGAAAUGAGGAAGUCGAUGACUCUGCAGGGACUCCUCUGACCCAGGAGCAGAUGGCGCUCGUCUGGGCACUCCCCAGGAGAAAAGGUGCAUCGGGAAGCAGCCUGGCUUGUGGAUGGUGGACAAGGUGGAGGAGAGAGAAUUCCUUGGCAGUAGCAUUAUGAACAAAUGCAGGGCUGAGAAACAGCAUGGUGGCCUUGACUAAGUUUAUGGCGACAGCAGGUAAGUCUGGAGAGAAAGCUUUACAGGACAUGUGGGUGGCUUGGACAUGCUUCUCCUAGCCCAAUGCUGUCCAAUAGAACUUUAUCCUGUAUCUGUGUUGUCCAACACAGUAAUCGCUAUGUACAUGUGGCUAUUAAACUCUUGAGGCUGGGCAUGGUGGCUCACGCCUGUAAUCCCAGCACUUUUGGAGGCCGAGGCAGGCAUAUCCCUUGACCUCAGGAGUUUGAGACUAGCCUGGACAAAAUGAUGAAACCCUGUCUUCACAAAAAAUACAAAAAAAAUUAUCAGGCAUGGUG
rnacentral:lncRNA from 10 species